rnacentral:misc_RNA from 1 species
AGCCAAACUCUGCUAUCAGAAAAUGUGCUCGUGUUCAGCUGAUCAAGAAUGGAAAGAAGAUUGCUGCUUUUGUACCCAAUGAUGGUUGCUUGAACUACAUUGAGGAAAAUGAUGAAGUAUUGAUUGCUGGAUUUGGACGGAAGGGGCAUGCCGUUGGAGAUAUUCCUGGUGUCAGGUUCAAGGUUGUGAAGGUUUCUGGUGUCUCUCUUCUGGCACUAUUCAAAGAGAAAAAGGAAAAGCCUAGGUCUUAGGUUUUGUGGAAGAGUUUUUCCUUUAUUCAUUCUCUACUCAAUUUGUGCUUUCAUAGAGAUGGUAGUGAGCAUUAUGUAAUGCAGAAAUCUGUGAACAACUAUUUCUUGCU